rnacentral:rRNA from 1 species
GUGGGGAAUAUUGGACAAUGGGCGAAAGCCUGAUCCAGCCAUGCCGCGUGUGUGAAGAAGGUCUUCGGAUUGUAAAGCACUUUAAGUUGGGAGGAAGGGCAGUAAGUUAAUACCUUGCUGUUUUGACGUUACCGACAGAAUAAGCACCGGCUAACUUCGUGCCAGCAGCCGCGGUAAUACGAAGGGUGCAAGCGUUAAUCGGAAUUACUGGGCGUAAAGCGCGCGUAAGUGGUUUUGUAAGUUGGUGGUGAAAUCCCCGGGCUCAACCUGGGAACUGCCUCCAAAACUGCAUGACUAGAGUACGGUAGAGGGUAGUGGAAUUUCCUGUGUAGCGGUGAAAUGCGUAGAUAUAGGAAGGAACACCAGUGGCGAAGGCGACUACCUGGACUGAUACUGACACUGAGGUGCGAAAGCGUGGGGAGCAAACAGGAUUAGAAACCCGAGUAGUCC